rnacentral:rRNA from 3 species
GGUGUGAAUUGCAGAAUCCCGUGAACCAUGGAGUCUUUGAACGCAAGUUGCGCCCGAAGCCAUUAGGCUGAGGGCACGUCUGCCUGGGCGUCA